UACGAAGGGUGCAAGCGUUGUUCGGAAUUACUGGGCGUAAAGGGCUCGUAGGUGGCCAACUAAGUCAGACGUGAAAUCCCUCAGCUUAACUGGGGAACUGCGUCUGAUACUGGAUGGCUUGAGUUUGGGAGAGGGACGCGGAAUUCCAGGUGUAGCGGUGAAAUGCGUAGAUAUCUGGAGGAACACCGGUGGCGAAGGCGGCGUCCUGGACCAACACUGACACUGAUGAGCGAAAGCCAGGGGAGCAAACGGG
rnacentral:rRNA from 1 species